UUCUCUCUCUAAAAUUGGUGUAGUUAAUAUUCUCUCUAUCUGACAUUUUCUCCCCAAAAAUGGUUACCUUAAUUCCUCAAAAUUUCUACUUCAAUUCUUAUACAUUUUUUAGUUUAUUGUUCUAAUUACUGAUUUUGAUCUCCCACAAUCGAAUGUUGUACGAUCUGCCACAUUCGAAUUAAAGAACAAAAACCCUAGAUUUAUUGAAUUUCAAAAUAGUUUCUGAUGUAGAUGUAAUUGGUUAAGCAAAAGUUUCAGUUCUUACAUAAUAUCCAAGUCACAAUGCAAGAACCAAACACCUUUACAAUUUGUUCUUCCUACAGAUCAGAAACUAACAAAAAUACAAAUGAAUUGGUAUAUUUAACUAAGGAAUUGUAGGACAUCUGUUGAGACAGAUUCUAGUGAUAAUGUUGUGGUGACUAGAUGCAGCAAGGGCACAGUAAGGAGUUGUUGGUGAUGACCAAGAUGCAGCAGGGAAAGCACAGUUAGGAGUUGUUGGUGGUGACUAAGAUGCAGCAGAGGCAGCACAGUUAGGAGUUGUUGGUGGUUCUGUACAGCCACAACAUAAGGGAAGGAAGUUCAAGACAGUUGCUUCUAAGGACAAAGGAAAAAAGGUUUUAAAGGAAACAUUAAAGAAAGAAAAACUAUGUUUUUGUUAAAUUAGCAACUAAGUAUUUGCUCAUUUGGUAAAUGAGCAAAAAAUUGAUUGCUC